CAAGCAAAGCCUUACAAAAUCAUAUCAAGAUUGGGAAGAAAAAAGGGGGUUGGAAUGUGAAUGUUGGGGCAUCCAACUCUUGGACACACCUUCUCCUUAUUUUGGGCAACAUGGAGAAGGGAGGGAUGCCUCCUUUUUUUCUCAUGGAAGGAAGAGAGGGGGCACACAACUUGGGGCAAGGAUAUCUUAUUUUAAUGAGAGUAGAGCAUGAGAAAUUAAUUAUCACAUGGGGUGGCUUGGUUUGGGUUUAGUCCUAUUCUAAAUAGGAUUCA
rnacentral:lncRNA from 1 species